UGGGGAAUAUUGGACAAUGGGCGAAAGCCUGAUCCAGCCAUGCCGCGUGUGUGAAGAAGGCCUUUUGGUUGUAAAGCACUUUAAGCGAGGAGGAGGCUACUUGGAUUAAUACUCUAGGAUAGUGGACGUUACUCGCAGAAUAAGCACCGGCUAACUCUGUG
rnacentral:rRNA from 1 species